ensembl:lncRNA NR2F2-AS1 NR2F2 antisense RNA 1
CUUAAAGGGAAACGACUUUGGACUCACGUAGGCAUAGGAGAACGAAACUUCUGUACAUUUUAAUCUGAAUAAUUCUUCAGGAUUUAAAAUUAAUUGGCUCUGGCUUGGUUGGACCGUACUCGGAUCUCGCCACCUCUGCGUUUCCCGAGUCACUGGCGAAGAGGUCCCAGUUCCUCUGGGAAUCGUCCUGUAUGCAACAUCUUCACAAGAGUGGCAGGCAGUUGAAUCUCUGGCCUUCGUGGGACCACUGGACAUCUGGCAGAGAACCAGGAAACCACGGUUCCCUUCUGUGAGUCCCUCAGCCGGAAAACUACAAGCUCCUCAUGCAGCUGCUGUCUACAGACCCCCUGGACUGCCUGGGGAAGUGAGUCGGAGCUCCUGCAGCAGAGGGGUGGAACAGCUACACGAAGAUCCGAAGGUGGCCAAAAAUAACAGCGCUUUCCAGAUGAGGGAGCCAGUUGUCCAGCACAGUGUCAUGGGACAGUGGGCCCUGGUGCCACAAUGCCCGGCAUCUCCACCAGAUACAGCUUUGAGAUCUUCAUGAUGAAGCUUGCUCCAAUCCAAGGGCUGUCAGGUGGGGUUUGCGGUUCAGCUGCUAACCUUUCUUUGAUCCAAAUCCUGUCUUCACUGGCUUCAAGAAUCCUGUCUUCACUGGCUUCAAAACUGGGAUGAAGGAGGCUCCUUAGUGGAGAGCAAAGCAAAGAGAAACUCAAAUUGGAUCCAUAUUAAAGAAGAGAAGGAUGGAUUUGUUUAGACAACACAAACCUAGGAAGGGUUUGAGAGGUGAAACAAACUGGGUUAUGGAUGAACGGGGGCAAUUGGAAUGUAGAAUUGAAGCAGUAAUUAACAUCUUGGUAAGUUACCCACCAUAAAACGCUUUAGAGCAAGAUAGAUUUUUGUUUUUCUUUUUUUUUUCUUCUAUUUCUUCUUUUCUAUUUUUUUUCUAUCUUCUCAUGUAGGACACCCUUUUUUUUUCUCUAAUUUUGAGAUCCUCAUGGAUGAAAACAAAACAUAUAUUGAAAUAUUGCAUAGGAAGAACACAAAUAGCUUUGAUAAUGCACCAACUGCAAGUGGAUUCAUUGGCUCUGUGUCAGCUGGUGCAUGUAGGAAGCUGAAGAAUAUUUUCUUGCCAACGUUUUGGCAAGACUUAUUUUUUCCCGGGGGGUGGGCGCAAGGGUGCAAUCCAAUAAUAAUUAAAAAAAAGACUGUAUAACCAUUGUGUAGGAAGAGCUUCAGCCACCCUACAGCCGAGAGCGAGUUGGUCUUCCACAAGUCACUGGGGGAGAUGAAGGGUACACUGUAGUCAGGUGGAGUCUCUUUGGGCCUAAAAUCACUAUAGGACACUUUUCCAAAGUACCCUGGUGUCUUCAGUGAUCCUGAGUGCUGGCACUUGCACUUUGUCACUACAUCCAUCCCAGAGCUGCCCCAGUGGCUGGAGGCCUCUUGAAUAUCAGCAUCAUGCUCUCCCCCAACCUAGGGGAUUCGUUUUCCUCCCCUGCAGUAGACAUUUGCGUGAAGGUUAAUCCACAGUUAGGAGUUGCUUAACUCAAGCCUCAGAAAGCGUACACUGCAUCUUUAAGAAAUAGUUUACUUGUGAAUCAGUAAACGUACUAGACAAAGCAGCCAUUACUUAUGCAUUCCUGCAUAUCCAGCAAGGUGAAAAUAAUAGAAUAAACAUCAUAUACUUCAUUAUGAUAUCGGUUUACACUUCCAGGGUACACAAAAAGAGGCCAUUUCAUCAAGCUAAUUGCCUGAAAGUAAAAGAGAGAGAACUUUAGCUAUUAGUCUAUUAUGGGGCUUUUUUCUUAAUCACAAAUAGGGGCCGUGUGUCCCUGGGGGGAUGUGUAUUCUAAUUUACAAUUGAACUACAGAUCAGAGCAAUCAAUCUUGGGCAGCACUUUUACAGUGUAAUUGCUGCAACAUAACAAAU